GAUGAACGCUCGCUACAGGCUUAACACAUGCAAGUCGAGGGGCAGCAUGAACUUAGCUUGCUAAGUUUGAUGGCGACCGGCGCACGGGUGAGUAACACGUAUCCAACCUGCCGAUGACUCGGGGAUAGCCUUUCGAAAGAAAGAUUAAUACCCGAUGGCAUAGUUCUUCCGCAUGGUAGAACUAUUAAAGAAUUUCGGUCAUCGAUGGGGAUGCGUUCCAUUAGGUUGUUGGCGGGGUAACGGCCCACCAAGCCUUCGAUGGAUAGGGGUUCUGAGAGGAAGGUCCCCCACAUUGGAACUGAGACACGGUCCAAACUCCUACGGGAGGCAGCAGUGAGGAAUAUUGGGCAAGGGACGAGAGUCUGAACCAGCCAAGUAGCGUGAAGGAUGACUGCCCUAUGGGUGGUAAACUUCUUUUAUACGGGAAUAAAGUGAGGCACGUGUGCCUUUUUGUAUGUACCGUAUGAAUAAGGAUCGGCUAACUCCGUG
rnacentral:rRNA from 1 species